rnacentral:rRNA from 1 species
GACAGAGGAGGCAAGCGUUAUCCGGAUUUACUGGGCGUAAAGCGCUUGUAGGCGGCCUUGUAAGUUGGGCGUGAAAGCUCCGGGCUUAACCCGGAGAGGCCGUCCAAUACUGCGAGGCUAGAGGGUGCUAGAGGAAGGUGGAAUUCCUGGUGUAGCGGUGAAAUGCGUAGAUAUCAGGAGGAACACCCGUGGCGAAGGCGGCCUUCUGGGGCAUUCCUGACGCUGAGAAGCGAAAGCUAGGGGAGCAAACAGG